rnacentral:rRNA from 1 species
UGGCAUAAGCCAGCUUGACUGCGAGCGUGACGGCGCGAGCAGGUGCGAAAGCAGGUCAUAGUGAUCCGGUGGUUCUGAAUGGAAGGGCCAUCGCUCAACGGAUAAAAGGUACUCCGGGGAUAACAGGCUGAUACCGCCCAAGAGUUCAUAUCGACGGCGGUGUUUGGCACCUCGAUGUCGGCUCAUCACAUCCUGGGGCUGAAGUAGGUCCCAAGGGUAUGGCUGUUCGCCAUUUAAAGUGGUACGCGAGCUGGGUUUAGAACGUCGUGAGACAGUUCGGUCCCUAUCUGCCGUGGGCGCUGGAGAACUGAGGGGGGCUGCUCCUAGUACGAGAGGACCGGAGUGGACGCAUCACUGGUGUUCGGGUUGUCAUGCCAAUGGCACUGCCCGGUGGCUAAAUGCGGAAGAGAUAAGUGCUGAAAGCAUCUAAGCACGAAACUUGCCCCGAGAUGAGUUCUCCCUGACCCUUUAAGGGUCCUGAAGGAACGUUGAAGACGACGACGUUGAUAGGCCGGGUGUGUAAGCGCAGCGAUGCGUUGAGCUAACCGGUACUAAUGAACCGUGAGGCUUAACCUUACAACGCCGAAGGUGUUU